UACGUAGGGUGCAGGCGUUAAUCGGAAUUACUGGGCGUAAAGCGUGCGCAGGCGGCUUCUCAAGUCAGAUGUGAAAUCCCCGGGCUUAACCUGGGAACUGCGUUUGAAACUGGGGAGCUAGAGUGUGGCAGAGGGGGGUGGAAUUCCACGUGUAGCAGUGAAAUGCGCAGAUAUCAGGAAGAACACCCGUGGCGAAAGCGGCUCUCUGGAACGGUACUGACGCUGAGACGCGAAAGCGUGGGGAGCGAACAGG
rnacentral:rRNA from 1 species